GGGCCGGUGGUCUAGCCCGGCUAUGGCUUCGCAAAUUCGGUGCGGUGGUCACGAGUUCAAAUCUCGUCCGGCCCACCA
rnacentral:tRNA from 1 species